rnacentral:rRNA from 1 species
UACGUAGGGCGCGAGCGUUGUCCGGAAUUAUUGGGCGUAAAGAGCUCGUAGGUGGCUUGUCGCGUCUGCCGUGAAAGCCCGUGGCUUAACUACGGGUCUGCGGUGGAUACGGGCAGGCUAGAGGCUGGUAGGGGCAAGCGGAAUUCCUGGUGUAGCGGUGAAAUGCGCAGAUAUCAGGAGGAACACCGGUGGCGAAGGCGGCUUGCUGGGCCAGUUCUGACGCUGAGUGAGCGAAAGCCAGGGGAGCAAACGGG